GAACAGGGCCUCGACUGCGAAGCCUUUCUCCCCCCGCAUACCCAGGGCGACCUGUUCGAAUGAAACUGUUGGGAUAAGUUGAGUUACAAUAGCGGUCAUCAAUGUUUCGGAAUGUUCUCCAUGGCCGACAAGCUCAGCAAGACCAAAUCCAGUUUCUAUCGUCGUCUCUAUGUGGCAUAUCUGAUCGAUACAGGAGUCGCCACCAGCGUGCCUGCGUUGACCGAGGUCACCGGCAUGCCGCGGCGUACCGCCCAAGACACCAUCAACUCCCUGGCUGAAUUGGAUAUCGUCUGCGAAUUCGAGAACAUCGAAGGCGAACGACACAAUAUCGGUCGCUACAUGAUCCGCGACUGGGGUGCCAUCAACAGGCGCUGGAUCGCCAACCACCUGAC
rnacentral:misc_RNA from 1 species